UACGUAGGGGGCAAGCGUUGUCCGGAUUUAUUGGGCGUAAAGAGCGUGUAGGCGGCUUGGUAGGUCCGCUGUGAAAACUCGAGGCUCCAACCUCGAGAUUGUCGGGCGGAAAACCACUUGGCUAGAGUCCGGAAGAGGCGAGUGGAAUUCCUGGUGGUAGCGGUGGAAUGCGCAGAUAGUCAGGAGGAACACCAAUAGCGAAGGCAGCUCGCUGGGACGUUACUGACACUGAGGCGCGAAGCGUGGGGA
rnacentral:rRNA from 1 species